rnacentral:miRNA from 1 species
AUGUACCUCAUUGAUUGGAAGGGUUUCCUUCCGGUCAAUGAGGUAGAUGUACCUCAUUGAUUGGAAGGGUUUCCUUCCGGUCAAUGAGGUAGAU